CAGUAACCAACCGUAAGGUAAUCUAAUAGAUGAAUAUGGAUCGGGAUAUCUGGAUCACGGGUCAAGCAAAGGAUACUUGGUUUGGACAUUCACAACAACAACUUUCUCCGGCUAUGAGAUAGCAAUGGAAUGCAUUGAUUUGGGAUUUUGUUUUGGAACGAGCGUCUCAACGUAGGAUUUCUGGACAUGAUCUACAGUUAAAG